rnacentral:rRNA from 1 species
GUGAACGCGGGGACGGAGGCGGUGGGAAUACAGAGGGUGCAAGCGGUGGUCGGAAUCAUUGGGCGUAAAGCGCUCGUAGGAUGCUUGUUAAGUCGGAUGUGAAAGGCCCAGGCUCAACCUGGGAAGUGCAUUCGAAACUGGCGAGCUUGAAUGUCGGAGAGGGCAGUGGAAUUCCGAGUGUAGAGGUGAAAUUCGUAGAUAUUCGGAGGAACACCAGUGGCGAAGGCGACUGCCUGGACGAACAUUGACGCUGAGGAGCGAAAGCGUGGGGAGCAAACAGGAUUAGAUACCCCGGUAGUC